UACGGAGGGUGCAAGCGUUAAUCGGAAUUACUGGGCGUAAAGCGUGCGCAGGCGGUUUGUUAAGUCUGCUGUGAAAUCCCCGAGCUCAACUUGGGAAUUGCAGUGGAUACUGGCAGGCUGGAGUAUGGUAGAGGAAGGUGGAAUUCCCGGUGUAGCAGUGAAAUGCGUAGAGAUCGGGAAGAACAUCGGUGGCGAAGGCGGUCUGCUGGGCCGUUGCUGACGCUGAGGCGCGACAGCGUGGGGAGCAAACAGG
rnacentral:rRNA from 1 species